ACACACACACAGGCGCUCGUACACAUGGACCACACGAUGAUUGUCCACUCUGCGCUUCACUCACACAGUGGUCGGGCUUCUCGCCUUCUCGGUACAGGAUGUGAUUGGAGCGCACCAUGUCGUCCACCACGUUGCUCUUGGUGAUCUCCUUGGAGCGGAACUGCUGCGGGGAGGACAGGUUCUUGCCGUCGUUGUUGCCAAGGCCCCGCCUCCUCACCUUGAUGCCCGAGCUGACCAGGAAGUCCACCAACGCCGACUUGAUCUUCGUCUGGCCGGACUUGAAGUCGUCCCCUCCGAUGAAGACGCCCCUCUGCACGGCCAGGUCUACGGCCCCCGGCACAAAGGUGUUCUGGGGGGAGCCGUUGAUGAAGGCGCAUCCUUCCAGUACGCUGGCCACCGCAAAAAGAGUGGAGGGAGACACCUCUGAGCCGGCCUGAUGGACCACAACAAACGAAGGUUUUUGGCCGUGUCGUUGACUCCGGGCACGAUGUCACAGAAGCGCUCGGUGGUGGCGGUCCACACGACGAUGACUUUGUCCACGCCGCUGGACUGAUGGAAGUCCCGGAUGUCCUCUCUGAUCCGCUCCAUCUGCAAGGAACCCACGACUCAGACUUGGUGUUCCAGGUGAGGUUCAUCUUGUUGGCAAGUACGGCUGCUGUGACCGUGGUGCCGUUGUUGCCUCCCCAGCCCACCAGCAUCACCCCCAGCCUGGGCACGCGUGUGUCCGUGCGCAGGGUCAUCUCAGUGGUGCGAGGGGUCACCUGUAUCGCACCGUCAUGUGUGAAAAUUCUUCUAAGGGACUCCUGCGAAGCCCACCCUGACGCUGAUGAGAAUCCUGCCUUCAUAAGCCAGCGAGUCUUGCGUUCCAGUGCCAGAACGUAGAUCCUUGUACUUGUACAUAACCCUUCGUCAUCCCCUGGUUUCGAGAAGUGUGUCUCAUCUCCCUGGAUCCCCUCUGGACUCUCUGCUGCCUUCCGGAUUUCGACCUCACACCUGCCCUUGGACCACGACGCCUCGCUCCAGCCCCUGACCUCCUGCCUGUCCCUGGACCUCAGAGUCUGCCUUGCCCUUUCUGGGCUUCCGCACCGAUCUCAACACUACCCGCAUCGAUAUUGCUUCACACUUGGCUGCGAACCGAUCCAGUGAGAGUUGAAGCCAUCAGGACUACACAAUCUGCAAACAGAGCCUGAAUCCUGCGGCCAUCAAACCGGAUUCCCUUAACGCCCUGACUGCACUUGGACAUUCUGUCAAUAAAAGUUGUAAACAGAAUUGGUGACAAAGGCCAUCCCUGGCGCAGUCCAACCCUCGCUGAAAAUGGGUCCGACUUACUGCCGGCAAUGCGGCGGCUCUGACACUUAUCAUCCAGGGAGCGGACUGCCACAAUCAGUUGCAUACCCCAUACUCUCUAAGCACUCCCCACAGAACUUCCCGAGAGACACGGUCGAAUGCCUUCUCCAAGUCCACAAAACACAUGUAAACUGGUUGGGAAAAUUCCCAUGCACCCUAGAGGACCCUGCCGAGACUAUAGAACUGGUCCACGGUUCAACGACCAGGACGAAAACCUCCUGAAUCCGAGGUUUGAUUAUCCGGCGUAGCCUCCUUUCCAGUACGCCUGAAUAGACCUUACUGAAAAGGCUGAGGAAUGUAAUCCCACGAUAGUUGCAGCACACCCUCAGGUUUCCCUUCUUAAGGAGAAGAACUAGCACUUGAAGUAGCUGGAAGGUCGUGAAUAAAACAGCUCUUUGAGGCGACAACCUCUUUUCAUUGUUACAUCGACACAUGACACUCUACACCGUACUUUUGUUUUUGCUCGUCUGUUUUAGAGCAACAAACGCACCCUAUAUACAGUAUUAUAUUUCUGUGCAUGUUGAAUUGGUGUAGGCAGCAGCAAGACAAUCGCUUCAUUCCGAGAGUAUUCAAUUUAGUCCCCCCUCCACAACCACCAAAGUUUAGCUGACGUCAAAGACAUGCAUAGUGACAAUCAUUUCGACCCAAGUUGUUUUCUUGCGCUCCAAUCUGAAUGACUUUCGGCAUAAACAACCUGUCUACAUAUGCGGUCCUCUCCAAGGUUUCUCAUAGUCAUUCACAUUGACGUCCCACUGGGGUGAGUUUUCCUUGCCCGUAUGUGGGCUCUGUACCGAGGAUGUCGUUGUGGCUUGUACAGCCCUUUGAGACACUUGUGAUUUAGGGCUAUAUAAAUAAACAUUGAUUGAUUGAUUGAUUGAUCGGAAUGAAAUGUUAAUCCAACGUGUGAUCGGGUCAAAAUUAAGCAUUUUUACUCCGCUUUGGCUUUUAAUCCGAUUAAAUGUGUCCAUGUUUACAUAACGACUACUGACAACUCAGAGUGAGU